rnacentral:lncRNA from 1 species
UUGCCCAGACUAAACUCAUUGAUCAUAGACAAUGGGGCUAUGCCUCUUCUCCGAGAGCUACAAAUUGGGCCUUCCCCACAACUGAAGGAGGUGCCCUCUGGCAUCCAGCACCUCAGAAAUCUAAGCUUUCUUAGAUUUGUUGACAUGCCAAAAGAGUUCCGACGACAUAUGGAUCCAAAUAAUGGCCAACAUUAUUGGAUUGUUGAACAUGUUCUUUUUAGUUACAAGUUGGGACCAAGAUGCGAUGUAUAUGAAACUCACGCCCUGCGUGAUUCCAACCUGUGAAAGCAUAUCUACUUGUGAGUUUUAAUCCCAGACACCCCAUAUAACUCGCAAGGCUUAAAUGAAAUCGCCAAAUGUCAUUGUUGACACGAUCUCUGAUAUUCUUUAGUAUUAUCAACUGUUAUAGAUGUUUGCUUUGUAUGAAAACAAAACAUAAAAACUUCAUUCAUGUUUGUGAGGAGUUGAUUGUAUUUGAGCAGGCAACAUUGAUUAUUUCUCACAACCAAGACAAGUGUUUGGCUAAUUAUUUCUCACACUAUCUAAUCAAAUGAAGGGCUAGGAGUUUCAGUUUGAAUGUCGGUCCUAAAUCAUUUCUUUUGUUCCAGACAUGUUUCUGAAUUUGAAGCAUUGAACUUUUGCUCAGCAAACAAGCAUUGUACGUAAGAUUUUUUUCGGUUGAAAGGCUUCAUGGCAAGCCUACCACAGGUCUCCAAGGAUAAUCAUAGGCAACUUGCGAGGUUGAAUAUCAUUUGCAACCCAGCUAGCAGAAACAAAAGAGUCCCUUCUCUAGUACCAAGCUUAGCUAGAAGUCGAGGUUUUCGCCACACGAAUUAAUUACGUAAAAUGAAACAAAUUAAAUCUGAAUUAUGCAUGGUAAGUGAUGGAUGGCAGAUUCAAAUCAAAGAGAAGCAGUUAUAUAUGUUAAUGGAAGAUCAGAGCAAAACGCAUGGCUUAAACUUCAUUGCUUUACAUCUGCAACCUUAUCAGAAAGAACACAAAAGUCUCUAAGCAUACAUAUAGUGUGUUAAAACCUGAUUGCAUAAGUUAAUGAAAAAGUAGCAGAAGCAGUUGUAUUCUUUGUGAUUGAUAAGUCUCUACUCAUCUACUGUACAGAAGCAAAACUUCCAAGAGAUGUAUGAUAGAGAUUUUAACACAUGUUCAGGAACUGGUAUAAACAAUUUACGAGUUUUUGGAUUAUUUAACUUAAUUAACUCUAAGAAUUAUAUUGGAGCAGUUAUGUUUUUAUUUAAUAUAUAUGUGUGUGUGUAUAUAUAUAUAUAUGAUUUGUUUUAUUAGAAACAUUAAAUAUAUAUAUAUAUAUAAUUGUCAUUAGGAGCAAUUUUUAUUCGUAAAUAUAUUGGAGACGUUGUCAAUUAUGAGUCAUUUCCACUCUUAAUUAUAUAGGAGAUGUGAGGAAGUUUUCUACUUCAACAAAUUUGAAAUGCCUUCUCUGAAUAGAUAUAUAUAUAUAUAUAUAUAUAUAUAUAUAUAUAUAUAUAUAUAUAGAUAUAUAUAGAUAUAUCAAUUAUGAGUCAUUUCCACUCUUAAUUAUAUAGGAGACGUGAGGAAGUUUUCUACUUCAACAAAUUUGAAAUGCCUUAUCUAUAUAGAUAUAUAUAUAUAUAUAUAUAUAGAUAUAUAUCUAUUCAGAGAAGGCAUUUCAAAUUUGUUGAGAGAGAUAUAGAUAUAUAGAUAUAUAUCUAUAUAUAUAUAUAUCUAUUCAGAGAAGGCAUUUCAAAUUUGUUGAGUGAGAGAGAGAGAGAGAGAAUACUAUAAGCUGAUAAAUAAUUUUUGAAAUUAAGUUUUGAGAGCAACAUAUUGAAAUCUAUUCAGAGAAGGCAUUUCAAAUUUGUUGAGAGAGAGAGGGGGAGAGAGAGAGAGAGAAUACUAUAAGCUGAUAAAUAAUUUUUGAAAUUAAGUUUUGAGAGCAACAUAUUGAAAGGGUGCAAGUUUGAAAGGUUCUGGGCUGUUUUAUCCUGAGGACGACGUGGUGUUUGUGAACUUCUUGCACACUUUGGGUAGAGCCGCGAAACAUCUUAAAGAUAGCGACUUAGUCCGCAACUCAUCCCAAGAAUCAUUCAUUACUCAAGGGUUUUACAUUUUCCGGGUAACUUCGUUCAUUUCUAUUUCAGUUUAAACAAUUUUAAGACGAAUUCAAUCUGCCAUGCAUUAUAAGGAAAACUCUACUUCUCAAGCAAAUCUUGUUGAAGAGCAAUUGAUUGCAAUGAUAUCAGAUAUCAACCUAGUUGAUGGAUCAGAAGGGUGGUGGGUGGACAUUGGCGCUUUUCGCCAUGUUUGCUAUGAUCGAUCCCUUUUCAAUACCUAUUCUGUGGCUGAGGGAAGAAAGGUGUUGUUGGGUGAUUCGCACUCAACUGAUGUUGCUGGUACUGGAGAGGUGGAGUUGAAAUUCACCUCUGGAAAAACCAUGAUACUGAAAGAUGUGAUGCACGCUUCGGCGAUAAGAAAGAAUCUUGUCUCGGGCUUUCUUCUCAACAAGGCUGGAUUCACUCAAACGUUUGGAGCAGAUACGUAUACUCUUACUAAAAUGAGGUUUUUGUGGGAAAAGGGAUAUGCUACUGAUGGAAUGUUUAAAUUGAAUAUUGAUAAAAUGUCUGCUUCUGCUUACAUGUUGUCUUCUUUUAAUACUUGGUAUGCUAGACUUUGUUAUGUUAACAAACGCUUGGUUAAGAACAUGAGUAACUUAGGCUUUUUACCCAACUUAUCAUUGAAUGAUUUUGAAAAAUGUGAAUACUGUAGUCAAGCUAAAAUCACUAGAACUUCGCAUAAAUAUGUCAAUAGAGAAUCUGAACCACUUGACUUAAUUCAUUCUGAUAUAUGUGAAUUUGAUAGAGUGUUAACUAGAAAUGGAAAACGUUAUUUUAUUACCUUUAUUGAUGAUUGUUCAAAUUACUGUUUUGUCUAUCUUAUAAAAAAUAAAAGUGAAGUUAUUGACAUGUUCAAAACUUUCCUGAUUGAAGUUGAAAAUCAUUUAAUCGUAAGUUUAAAAGAUUUUGUAGUGAUAGAGGACAAUAUCAUUUAAUCAUUUAAUCGUAAGUUUAAAAAAAAUUCUUGACGAGCCCUAUAUCUCUGCAAUGUUAGAUUUCCCAUUUUCUUAUCCAUUUUUCCAGUUCGAGGCAGUAAAGUUCUGUGGGUUUCCGGGGAUUUUGUCAUUUUCCGGACACUUUGGCAACCAUUUCCUUUGAGUGAGGUAUGAAACUUCAUCUACUCUUCAUAAUCUUCAAGUUGGUAUGCUUGGUUCGUGCUUUUGUAUUCAUUUUAGUGUUGGGUGUUUAGAACCCUAGAAAUCCGGUUUUCUCUGGUGAAUUUGGAUGGUUUCCAAUUAGAAUUUAUAUUCGGCCUAGUUGUGAAAAGUGUUUCCCUUGUUGAGCUCUAGUUACCACUUAAAUUUGAGCUCAUUUAGUUAAUAUUGAAAAUUCAGGUUUUCAAAACCCUCCACCUUAGUUAUCAGUUGUUGGACCUUUGAGAACUUACGGAUCGGAGAUCUGAUGUGCGGAUCUUCCAGUUUGAAUAACCUUAGAUUGUUGACCUUAUUGACGAUUGACAUUCUAGUCAACGUGCUAUACUCUAGAGUGUCGUUUAUCUCUAGUUUGUUGUUGAUGCUUGAUGGAACUUAGUUGGCUCAUCACGAUGAUGUGUCGUUCUCGGUUGAUGUGUGUCUCGAUAUAUGUAUUAGUGCCACCAUAUUGAGUUAUACUUGUUAAUUUAAUGUGCUUUCUAUUGAAAUGUUAUUUUAUUUUUAGCAUCAAUCUAUGUUUAUUAAUUGUGAUUUGACUGUAGCUUGGAAACAUUUAUGAAAUGUGGUUAGAUAUGUAUGAUCAGUAUGAUGUGUAUAAUUGUUUUUAGGACAAUGUGAACCCAGAAUCUUAUGAGAAGUAUUAUGUAUAACUUUUAUGCUUGUAUGAUAAGAUAGUUAGUGGUCAUGAGAAGUUGAUAGUGCAAGUGAUUCUGUUGAGUGAUGGUCCGGAAUCGUAUACUUGUUUGGAUUCCGUUGAGUGAUAGUCUGGAAUCCCUUCUACUUCGUGAUUCUGUUGAGUGAUGGUUCAGAAUCGUAUACUUGUUUGGAUUCCGUUGAGUGAUGGUCUGGAAUCCCUUCUACUUCGUGAUUCCGUUGAGUGAUGGUUCGGAAUCGUAUACUUGUUUGGAUUCCGUUGAGUGAUGGUCCAGAAUCCCUUCUACUCUGCGAUUCCGUUGAGUGAUGGUCCGGAAUCAUAUCCUUGUUAAGAUUCCGUUGAGUGAUGGUCCAUAAUCGUAUCCUUAUUUGGAUUCUAUUGAGUGAUGGUCUGGAAUCAUUUCCUGGUUUGGAUUCCGUUGAGUGGUCCAAAGUCGCAUCACUUGACUUGUUGGUUUCUUAGAUUUGACAUCAGCUUUAGAGAUGCAGACUUGGCUUAACUGUGUCACUCUAGCCUUAGUUUUAGUAUAUUUGUGAGCAAUGGUUUUGAGAAUCUUGUGAAUUGAAUUAGAAAAGCUGUUGGACGUUUGGGUGACUCUUUCAUGAUUUUCUAUGAUUCGAUUAUGAUAUCAUAAGGUAUGAAUUUAGAAGAUAUGGUUAUAGUUGUUAUUAUUUUGGUCAAAUUAGUUAAUUAAUGUGGCUAGAGAAUUAUAUUGUGCUUCGUCGGUUCUUUGAUAUAAUAUAUGUUGUGAAUUGCGGUAUCAUGUUGCGACAUAAUGACUUAUAUAGAAGAUGGAAGGGAAAUCAUGAUUUUCAGGUGGGUUUGUUAUGUAACUCUGAGUCUAGUAAUUUUAUGCUUGGCAAGUUCUAUUGAUUGAUUGAGAAAUGUUAUGCCUUUCAGCUUAAACGGACUGUGAUAUAUGUCAAUUAUAGUGCAUGACGAACUAUGAAUGGCUUGAUCUAUAUUUAGGGUACGUAAGCAGUCUAACGAGGAUGUUAGAUGCAGCCAUAAAGCAUACGAAAAAUUACUAUGUGAUUCGAUUAUCGAAUUGUGCUUUGCCCAUAUUCCGGAGUCGGGGUAUGAUAGAUACGGGUAUUUGGUGACAUCACGUGUCGAUCCUAGACGUAUGUCGGGAUCGGGGCUUGACAUGGGUGAAAUUGUGUUGACUAUAUGUUAUGUGUUAAAUAGAAUUCCUAACUCAAAAACGAAUAUUUCUCCUUAUGAAAUUUGGAAAAAUAAGAAACCAAAUGUGUUGUAUUUCAGAACUUGGGGUUGUUUAGCUUAUGUUCGUAAACCUGAUAAAAAAAGAUUGAAAUUGGCUAGUAGAGCAUAUGAAUGUGUUUUUAUUGGUGAUGCAUGUAAUAGCAAAGCAUAUAGAUUUUAUGAUUUGAAAAACCAUGUCAAAUUGAGUCACUUGAUGCUGACUUUUAUGAGAAUAAAUUUCCUUUUAAUCUUCGAAAUAGUGGGGGUUCUAAUUCUUCUAAAAUUUAUGCACCUCCUGUUGUAGAACAUAGUCAAUCUGCAUUAGAACCUAGGAAAAGUAAAAGAGCUCGAAUAACUAAAGAUUUUGGACCUGAUUUUCAUGUAUAUAACUUACAAGAAGAUCCUAAUACAAUUCAAGAAGCUUUAACUUCUUUAGAUGCAGCUUUGUGGCAAAAAGUUAUAAAUGAUGAAAUGGACUCCCUGGAGUCAAAUCAAACUUGGCACUUGGUGGAUCUUCCACCUGGUUGCAAAACAAUAGAUUGCAAAUGGAUUCUUAAAAGAAAAUUAAAACCUGACGGUUCAGUUGAAAAUUUUAGAGCCCGACUUGUUGCUAAAGGCUAUAGACAAAGAGAAAAUAUGAUUUCUUUAAUACUUAUUCACCUGUGACUAGAAUAACAUCUAUUCGUGUAUUAUUUGCUUUAGCUUCUAUUCAUGAUCUUGUUGUGCACCAAAUGGAUGUUAAAACAACUUUCUUAAAUGGUGAAUUAUAGGAAGAAAUAUAUAUGGAUCAACCAGAGGGUUUUAUCAUUCCAGGACAAGAAAAUAAAGUUUGCAAGUUAGAUAAGUCACUUUAUGAAUUGAAAUAGGCUCCUAAACAAUGGCAUGCAAAAUUUGAUAGUUUGAUUACUUCGAAUGGUUUUAAAAUAAAUGAAAGUGAUAAAUGCAUCUAUUAUAAGUCUAAAAAUAAUAUAUGCAUUAUAAUAUGCUUAUAUGUGGAUGAUUUGCUUAUUUUUGGUUUGAAUAUUCAUGUUAUGAAUAAUGUCAAAACUUUAUUAUGUGCUAAUUUUGAUAUGAAAGACUUGGAUGAAGCUAGUGUAAUACUUGGUUUGAAAAUAACUAGGUCCGAAAAUGGGUUUUCUUUAGAUCAAUCCCACUACAUAGAAUUUUUUUUAAGAAAGUAUAAUUAUUUUGAUUGUAAACUAGCAUGUAUUCCUUCUGAUCCUAGUGUAAAAUUGUUCAAGAACACUGGUGACAGUAUUAAACAAUCUAAGUAUGUGAGCAUUAUUGAUAGUUUUCGUUAUGCUACUGAUUGCACUAGGCCUGGUAUAUCUUAUGUUGUAGGAGUUUUAUGCAGGUUCACUAGCAGACCUGGUUUGGAGCAUUGACAUGCUAUAGAGAGGCUUAUGAGAUACCUUAAAAGAACGAUGAAUUUCAGAUUACACUAUGAGAAGUUUCCCGUUGUCCUAGAAGGUUACAGCGAUGCUGAUUGGAAUACCCAUUCAUAUGACUCUAAAGCCACUAGUGGAUAUAUUUUUAGUAUUGGUAGCAGGGCUGUGUCAUGAAGUCGAAGAAACAGACUAUCUUGGCUCAGUCUACUAUAGAGUCAUAAUUAAUAACACUAGUUACGGCAAGCGAAGAAGCAGGAUCGUUGAGAAACCUACUAUCAUAUACCCAUUUAUGGGAGAAACCGAUUCUAGCAGUUUUUAUCCAUUGUGACAGCACAUCGGCAAUAGCUAAAGUACAAAACCGUUAUUAUAACAGGAACAUGCGACAAAUACGUCGUAAGCACAACACUGUAAGAGAUUAUCUCUCUAAUGGAGCUGUAAGAGUGGAUCAUAUACGGUCUGAAGAAAACUUGGCUAAUCCUUUAAUGAAAGGAUUAGCACGAGAAAAGGUUUGGAAAACCUCGAAAGGGAUGAGACUAAAGCCUUUAGAAAAUUGAGUCAUUUGUGAUAGCAACCCAACCUAUAGACUGGUGAUCCCAAUAAAUAGGUUUAAAGGGUAAUAAUAAGUCACAAGUGAUAUGAGUGAAGUUUUGCUAAUUUAAUUUGGAAAAUUAUUCCAUGUCCAUCCCUAAGAAGCCUGACAUCUUGAAGCGUUUUUAGGUUGAGAUUUUUUUUCUCUUAGUAAGGUCUAUGCUCUAUGUUGAGUGGGAUAUCUAGCUGCAGGAAUAUCCUUGAUAGUCUUACCUAUGUGGAUGUGGAAGUGAGGCCGCUUCCUAUGAAAUCUUGGGCAAGUUUCUAGAGCAUUCACUAUACUGGGAUAUAAGCACAUGAUCGUAAUAUGCUGACUUUUUAAACUUCACCUUAAUAAAGUUAUGUGUGUGGUGUUGUCAGAGAUAGAGUUCAAAACUAUAAGUUACUCUAGUAUAAUUUGGAUCACUAACACUAUGUACAUGUUCAAGUUGAGAAACACCUUUACUUAUGCAUAUCUUUAUGAUAUGUUGCUUGAUAUACAAUUUUUAAACAAAAACAAGUGGGGGAUUGUUGGAGCAGUUAUGUUUUUAUUUAAUAUAUGUGUGUGUACAUAUAUAUAUAUAUAUUUAUGAUUUGUUUUAUUAGAAACAUUAAAUAUAUAUAACUGUCAUUAGGAGUAAUUUUUAUUCGUAAAUAUAUUGGAGACGUUGUCAAUUAGGCGUAAUUUCCAAUCUUAAUUAUAUAGGAGACAUGAGGAAGUUUAUUACUUCAACAAAUUUGAAAUGCCUUCUCUGAAUAGAGAUGAAGAUCACGUCCACAUCCAUAUAUAAUCUAUCCGUUUUGAUUUGUAUGUUUUGGUUUUUUCCAGAUUUCUAGUCCUUAAUUUAUAAAUCCUUCAACCUCUAUUUCUUUACUUUGUAUAUAAAUACAAGUCCUGAGUAUCGAUAAAAAAAAGAUAUAUAUAUAUAUAUAUAUAUAUAUAUAGAGAGAGAGAGAGAGAGAGAGAGAGAGCUAUAAUCUGAUAAAUAAUUUUUGAAAUUAAGUUUUGAGAGCAACAUAUUGAAAGGGUGCAAGUUUGAAGGUUCUUCCAUUAUGCAAGGAAGAACCUUAUCAGAAGAAGGUUUUAGGCUGUUUUAUCAUGAGGACGACGUUGUGUUUGUGAACUGCUUGCACAUUUUGGACAGAGCCGCGAAACGUCUUAAAGAGAGCGACUUAGUCUGCGACUCAUCCCAAGAAUCAUUCAUCACUCAAGGCUUUUACAUUUUUCGGGUAACUUUGUUCCUUUCUAUUUCAGUUUUCAACAAACUACAUUAAUUUGACAAAACUAAAUUCUAUUGUACGUGACUUAAACAAAUAUAUAAAAUGAGAAUUGGCUUACAGAAAUGGUGAUUUAACUAAACAAAACAAGUAAAUGUAGAAACUUAAAAUAAUAGAAAUAAUUGAAGAAAAUUAGAUUGACAAGGCACUAGAGUUUGACCUUUACCAACAACACUCCUACGUAGUUCUUCCAAUUCCUUAAGUAAUCGAAAACACACAUGCCUUGAAGGUUGAGUUUUUCCUUAUGUAAUUUUACUUGUGACAUUCAAGCUAAAUCACAUAUCACUACAUGCAAUUCAUCCAUAACAUUGAGAUUAAAUAUAAACAUGAGUGAUUUAUUGAUCUUGGUGAAAAUCCUUUUAAUAAACCAUGUAAUCCCUAAGAGUAUCAUAUUUACCUUAGGAGAAAUUACAAUCCUCAAUCACAAGAAUCAUAACCAAUUUUAACGUGAUAUUCGUUCAAAAUUACAUUCGAUGACUGUUCUAAGCAUCCCAAUGGUGAUCAAGCAUCAAAGCACGUAGAUAAUUUAAUUUAGUAAUUGAAAAUAUCAAAGUAAGCAUGUAACAAUACUUAAACAAUUAAAAGAGACGUAUUCAUGUUGAAGCUCAUGACCUCACUCAAGCGAAAGAAAAUUAAUUAUACAUACUUAUCUGAAAACAUAAAAAAUUAUCCAUAAAAAAUCAAAGCAAAAAUACAACCUUUAUUUACAAGAAUUAUUCCUGCUGAGCUGCUUCCAUCCUCCGCUCUCUGCCUUUGCUCUCUUCUUCUACUGAGCCUUCCGUCCUUCUCCCUGCUUCUCUUCUGUUUUUCCUCGUCUGCUUCGUGCCCUUCCCUCGACCAAAUGCAGCUAUCUGCUUUUUCCCAGCCACAAAGGCCCAAUGGAAGACAAGUCAAAUUUCACUUCGGUAGUGGGAUUGGCAAGGCAAAGUACAAAGUUACCUGUCUCUUUCUUUUUUCUCCACUUGCCGUGUCCCAUCUUGGAAAAUUCCAAAAACGUUCGGUCAUUCCCAGUUGCCAAAGCAGGUUGGAGCUUUUGAACUCUUCUUCCGCUUUCUACGCACACCCACUACCUCACAACUACAACUUUAUUAGCCAAUCUAAUAUUACAUUUUUAAUUGCUUACCAUGGCCUCUUCCAAUUUUCUCAAGUUUCUACAAAUGGAUUUUUAUUUAGAAAAAAUAAUGAAAAGUGUUUGAAAAUUUUAAGUUUUAAUGAAAAUGAUAAAAAUAUGUUGUAAGUGAAUAUUAUUAAGAUUGACUUUUUAAAAUAAAAAUGUGAUUUUUUAUUAAAAUAAAUAAUACCAGGACUGUUUCGUUAAAACUUCAUUUUUAUUUUCUAAUACUGAUGGAGAAGGAAAAGGAGAGAGUGACAUAAAGAAAAUAUGGAAAUAAUUUCCACAAUUCGUUUUCUAUGUUUGUACACUUCCAAUAUUUUUCAUCACUCGAUUCUCACACCAAAGGAAACAUAAUCAUGAUAUUCCCGCAUCAUUCUUUUUUUUAUUUAUUUAGCCGAAAGCUCGUCCUAGAAACAUAAUAUAACAAAAGUAUCACAAAUACUUAAAACUUCCCACUAAACUAAACAAGAUAACAACAAUAAUAGGGCUAAAUAUAUAGUAUAAAUAUUGAUUCAUCAAUAUACACAAUGAAGUUGCUUUCAUCUAUAAAAUCUAAGAGCUCUUAGAUUUAUUAACAUGCCGAAACAUUUCAACGAGAUGUGGAUCCGAAAAAUGGCCAGCGUUAUUGGAUUGUUGAGCUUGUACGAACGGCAUGUUAUUUGUAUUUACAAGCGUGGGACGAGAUGCUGCACACACGAGAUUCACAACCUGCAUGAUUCCAGCUUGUGAAGGCGCACAGGCGAGUCUUACUUAACAGCAGAAUACCCUGCACCACAGGAUGCUGCAGUGAAAUUAUCAAAUUUCAUUUUUUUCCCUAGUUGCCAACAUCAUUUUAGUCUCCUAGGAGAUGGCACGAUUGGUGAGAAUGAUUUAUGUGGAACAGGUUCACCGUAAACGUGGCAUCCCAGUUUAAUAAUACAAUAUUACAUGACAUUGUCUUAUUGGACCGAGGCGCAAUAGUGACGAUGAAUUCAUUUUAUAUAAGUUGCUCUUAUUGUUGGGUGUCCUUACGCAAAUUUUUCAAGACAAGGUGGAUUUUUAAUCAAAGAUAGUUGUGAUCUACAUCAAUGUUGUGCGGAAGCGCCAAAUAUGAAACCAAUAAUCUAAUACGACAAAAUAUGACAAGACAAAUAAUCCAAAUUGACACAAUGUUUUAUACUGAUUCAGCGUAAGCCUACGUCUAGUUCAGAGACAGCGAAGAAAUUCCACUAAUAGUCAAAAUGGAGAUUACAAAUUUAGUUCAACUCUUAAAUCCCAAAACUCACAUACACCCAAGGUAUUAAAUAUCGAUGAGAUCGGAAAUAUUGGUAAUAAAAAAACACGGAAAUUUCGAUAGAAAUAUCGGGAUAUUAUCGAUAUCAAUAAAAAUUGAAUAAAAACCACGGAAAUUGUAAGAAAAACUUGGAAAUUUUUAUUGAAACUUUGUAAGAUGUUUAUUUAGUCAAUUAUCUAUUAGUUUAUCACAAAAACUUGGAAGGAAAUGCAUUGUAUGAUAGAUAGAACUGAUUUAAGUUGAUUAUAUAACGAGCUGGUAAAUAUUGUGAGUGUAGAAAAUAUGUAGUAAUUAAUUAAAGAAAUUUAAACACACCAUAAUCAUUUAUAUAUAAUGAAUUAUGCAAUAUUUUACACUUUAUACAUUAAAUGGUAAGAUACACGAAUGACUUAGCAAGGUUUAAAAUAUCGAUGAUAUCGGAAAUAUCGGUAGUCCAAAAAUACGAAAAAUUUCGAUUGAAAUAUCAGGAUAUUAUGAAUAUUUUAGACCAUACAUACACCUAAUAGCUCUCACUCGUACAAAGAACAAAUGAAGAAGAUGGAAACACAUACCAAAUCUCAUCUCUCAAAAGCCACAAAACGUAGCAUCAAUAUCUUUGACUGAGUGAUUACAGACAAAGGGAGUUACAAACAAAAGGGGUUACAAACAAAGGGGGGAGAGCAGCAGCCUUCUUCAAAUAGAAGAGUCGAAUGCUCUCUCCUCUGCUCACUUCUUUUCUGCUGCUCUCCUCUACUUAUCUCUCCGCAAGAUCCAGCAAGGAAGAUAAGGUGCACAAUGAUCAACAACAACAACAAAUUUUUUUCCGACUAAAUGGAAUCGGGAAUCAUAAAAAUGUAACUUUUUUUUCUUUUGCCAACCACAAAGUGCCGAAAGAAAAAAAAAUCAACCCUUUCUUUUUUUUCUACAAACAUCAUCAUUAUGCCUCCUCAUCAUGUUCCCACAUCCCCUUUUCUUAUUCUAUUUUUCUUGCUUCUGGCUUCUUUAACAAAUGCAGCAGUUGCUGCCAAUUAAAACAAAGAAUGUGAUAUUCACACAUUCUUUUUUACUUCUUUUAUAUUCUUUUAAUUUUGGAUCGUCGGAUCGGAUGAAUUGAAAAAAAUUAAAUGACAUAAAUUAACAAGAGUUGUGAGAGAAGUAAAAAAAAGUGUGUGGAUAGCACAUCCCUUAAAACAAUAGGAAAACCACCCUGUGGCUUUCACAUGGACCAAAUAAACAAAAGGAAAACCACCAUGUGGAUUUAUUCCUCAUAAUCCAUCAAAUCAGAAAAUUCGUGUCGUUGAAAUUUGAUCAAACGGCUAAAAUUAUUAUAACUUUUUAAAAUGAAUUUUUAUUUAUAACCUUAGAUCAAAUUUCAACUGUAUAAAUUUUCUGAUUUAAUGGAUCAGAAGGAAGGAAGGACCCGUUUCCUUACGGAUAACCUAAUUCAAUAUGAGCCAAUCGCUGCCUUAUCACAUCAUUGAAUCCAAUUGCUGCCUUAUCACAUCAUAAUUCAAUAUGAGCCAAUCGCUGCCUUAUCACAUCACUUUCAUAGUUUAAUUCACCUUGCAAUCCAGAAAGUAGUCUGCAACGGAUUCGGAUCCCAUCCGGAUUCAAAAUGUGGAAAUGUCUUAAUCAUUAAUCAAUCAGAAAUUAUUUGACUUGUUAUUUUAAAUUAAACACAAAUAGUAUUUGACGAAAACUAACGUAUGAAUGAACGGUUAGGAUGUGAGGAAGUGUAUAAUUCCCACCAAAUGGAUCUAGAGAGGAUCCUCUUCUGUCUGCAACCUAACCAGAAAUACAUCACACAGAAUUCAAAAAUGUUCAAAAUUUCAUAUAAUUGAGCAAAUAUUCAUCAAUUAUAGAUGCUUUGUCUGCCAGACAAGGGCAGGAUACAGAAUGGCAGAACAGAUUAUAUGCUUUGUGAUCGACAAGUUAAUUCAACUACUCAUCACCACAGAAGCAAACCUUUCGAGAAAUGCAAGUACUGAAGUUGGUUUCAUCAAAGAUGAACUCGAGAGCAUCCGAUCAUUCCUCAAGGAAGCAGAUGCUAAGGCUGCAGCAGCAGACGGAGAGACGGGGAAUGAUGGUGUCAAAACUUGGGUCAAUCAAGUAAGAGAAGCAGCUUUUUAUAUUGAAGAUGUGAUUGAUGAAUAUUUGCUCCGCAUCUUACAGCAUCAUCAACACCAUGCAUUCCUUCGUUCUUUCCACAAAAUUAUCCGGUUGGCUAAAAAAUUGAGAUCACAGGAUGGGAUAGUUUUGAAAGUUGACGGUAUAAAAGAAUUGGUUCGUGGAAUCAAGGAGAGAAGUGAAAGAUAUGGAUUCAAAUCCCUUGAUCAGCAAGGCCAGAGCAGUGGAGAAAACAACGACCCUCGAGUGGCUUCCCUUUUCAUUGAGCAAGCUGAAAUCGUGGGGAUUGAAUCUACCAGAGAUGAGCUGACUGGUUUGUUGGUAGAAGAAGCACCAAGACGUAAAGUGAUAUCAGUGGUUGGCAUGGGAGGACUUGGGAAAACCACUCUUGCCAAGAAAGUAUAUGACCAGCCGAAGGUGAUGGCACACUUUGAUUGCUAUGCUUGGAUUACGGUGUCCCAAUCGUACAGGGUUGAGGAUCUUCUGAGGACGGUAAUAAAAAAGUUCUACAUUUCAAGGAAGGAGCUUUUCCCAGAGGAAAUCGACACAAUGGAUGAGGAGUCCCUGAUUAGCACAGCAAGAGAGUAUUUGCAGCAAAAGAGGUACGUUGUUGUGUUUGAUGAUGUGUGGAAAGUAGAUUUUUGGGGGGCUAUAGAACAUGCUUUACCCGAUAAUAAAGGCGGACGAAUAAUUAUCACUACACGGAUUCAAGGUGUUGCCAACUUUUGCAGAAGAUCUUGUUUUGUUCAUGUUCAUCACUUGCAGCAUCUGCCUCCAAACAAGGCAUGGGAAUUGUUUUGCAGAAAGGCAUUUCAGUUUGAAUUGGAGGGAAAGUGUCCUGAAGAUUUGGAAGAGUUGUCUCUUAACAUCGUCAAAAGAUGCGAAGGACUACCUUUGGCAAUUGUUUCCAUAGCUGGUCUGCUGUCAACCAAAGCUAAAGUUGUGUCUGAAUGGCAGAAGUUAUACAAUAGCUUAAGUUCAGAGUUAGAAAGCAAUCCCCACCUUACAAGCCUCACAAGAAUCAUAUCCCUCAGCUAUCACCAUCUGCCGUAUUACCUCAAAUCGUGUGUAUUAUACUUUGGCAUCUUUCCCGAGGAUUACUCAGUUAGUUGCAUAAGAUUAGUUCGGUUGUGGAUCGCUGAAGGUUUUGUGAAACCGAAGAGGGGCAAGACACUAGAAGAGGUUGGAGAGGAAUACUUGAUGGAGCUAAUUCACAGAAGCCUGGUUCAAGUUUCAGAAGUUUACAUUGAUGGAAAAGCUCGAGGUUGUAGAGUUCAUGAUCUAUUGCAUGACGUCCUCCUUAAGAAGGGGUUGGAUUCGAGCUUCUGUCAUGUGUUAUCAAAAGACGAGUCAACUUUUAAACCAACAACUCGACGUCUCUCAAUGGACAUCAGUCCUUCUGAGGCCGUGGGAAGCUUUACACAAUCUCAUAUUCGUUCUGUAUUUACUUUCAACCUAGAAGAAUGGCCUGGGUCUUUUCUCGAUACAUUGAGUGGAAACAUUAAACUUCUGAAAGUAUUGGAUUUCACAGAUGCUCCAAUCAAUCAACUUCCGAAAUAUGUGGGGGAUUUGUAUCUCUUGACGUAUUUAAGCUUGAGGAAUACAAGGGUGGAGUUGCUUCCAGACUUCAUAGGCAAUCUACAAAACUUGGAAACCUUGGAUCUAAAACAGUCUUUGGUGUAUGAAAUACCAGCCAAGAUCAAUAAGCUUGUUAAGCUGCGGCAUCUUUUGGCCUACCAUCGUGACUACAACUACGACGUGGGUUUGUAUUGGAAUUUGGAAAGAGGAGUGAAGAUACAUGAAGGUAUUGGAUGCUUACAAGCUUUGCAAAAUUGUCCUAUGUGGAGGCGAAUCAUGGAGGGAUCAGGUUAAUCAAAGAAUUGGGAAAGUUACGACAGCUACGGAAGUUAGGCCUAAAAAACUUGAAAAGUGAAGAUGGAAGGGCUGUGUGUGCUUCUAUUGAAAAGAUGAACCACCUUGAAUCUCUAAUUUUAACUGCAAUAAAUGAAGAUGAAGUCCUUGAUCUAGAAUCCAUUUCAACUCCACCACAAUUUAUUCGUGCUCUCUUCUUGAUAGGGCGUUUAGAGCAGUUGCCAGGUUGGAUUUCAAAUCUUCAACACCUCGUCAGAUUGGUGAUUUGUUGGUCAAGGUUGAGAGAUUCCCCACUAAAAGCCCUUCAAAAUCUACCUAAUCUGUUGGAGCUAACUUUGGAUAUCAAUGCAUAUGAUGGUGUGCAGCUGCAUUUUGAGGAAGGAGGAUUUCAUAAACUUAGAAAGCUACAUCUCAGGGAAAUGAUGGGACUAAAUUCGUUGAUCAUAGACGAUGGUGUCAUGCCUCUUCUCCAAGAGUUUCGCAUUGGGCCUUCCCCACAAAUGAAUGAGGUACCCUCUGGCAUCCACCAUCUCCGGAAUCUGACAUAUCUUCAUUUCUAUGACAUGCCAAAGGAGUUUGCGCGACAGAUGGAUCCAAAAAAUGGCCAACAUUAUUGGAUUGUUGAACAUAUACAAAAUGUUCGUUUUAGUUACAAGGUCGGACCAAGAUGGCGUGUAUAUGAAAUUCACGCCCUGCGUGAUUCCAACUUUUCUCUUUGGUGGAAUGCUUGAUUCCAACUUGUGAAACCAAGCAUGGGAAUGGGAUAUGCUUUGGUUAAGAGUUGGUUGUUAGCUCUGGUAUCCUAGUUUCUCUUGCAGGUUGACUGGGAGGGGCUCUUUCUCUUCUGUUUUCUUUGUGUCGUCCAAUCGUAUUCCUAGCAUUUUCCUUGUAAUUUUAUUGGUGGUUGCAAUAAAAAUAUCCUAUCCAAUUGAUUUUCUCUAGGAAAAUGAUAAACCGUAUGCUCCUUUUAACCUCACUUUGAUAAUUGAAGUUAAAAUAUUAAAUUUUUACUAUUUUUGAUCUUACCAAUUCUUUACUAUUUUAUAUUCUUUAUAUUAAUUUGUAAUCUCUAACAUAUUUUGUUAAUCAAAGGGUAGAUUUUGUGGAUUAUAGAAAUUUCAUGAAUCAUGAUUGUUUUUUUUUAUUUGCCAAAAAAUUCAUGAAUCAUGAUUGAGCAUUCUCCUUUUGUAUGUCACACAUAUUGAUCCAGCCACAUAUUUUUUGUAUGCACAAUAAUGAAAAUGUGUUAAGCGUUUAACGGUGUAAAUUCAAACUCCGUCGAUAACUAACGUAACAAAAUUUAUCGACAGACAAAAAAAAUAAAAAUUAGGUACAAGAUGUAAAGGUGAGGGCCCACAAAUGCAAGCGUUGGGGAUAGCGGAGUGGAUCCCACGAUUUCAAAAUUAUGGACAGGAGGAACAUUUCUCUCAAACUUGGGCGCUAAAAAAAGUCGUCGUCGUUUUUCCUUUUCUGGCUGAGUUUGCCUUCUUAAACCAACCCGACAUUCUCGGCCCAAACAAAUGUUCAAACCUUUCCGUUACUUCCCUUCACAAAUUUCCAAUUAGGGUUUCACAUUAACCUUGAUCAGAACUUCUACGUACAUAUAUAUACAUAUAUAUAUUUAUAUAUAAUCUCUCUCUCCCUCUGUUUCUGAAUUUUGAUUUCCCGGGAAGGUUUCAAACCCGAUCGUUUCUUCGAAAGUCUCUGAAAGCUUUUCGACAAAACAAAAAUCCAAAAUCUUUGUGAUAUCAAAAAGGAAAUAAAUUUCAAAACGCGCAUGGAAUUGGCUGGUUCAUUUGCCUGAAAGUUGGUUCAGAUAGAGAUGGAGGGAGGGGCGAGAGAGAUGGACGAAGAAUUGCUGGAGUUCGCGAGGGAGGCUUUCGAGGGGGAUGAAAUUGACAUGGACUACGAAUUGAUGCGCCAAAGGUUCUACGAUUUCACUAGGCCGGAAUCCUAUUGGGAGGCGGAGGAGGCGGAGGAAUGGUUCCGGUCCGCCGGAGGCUAUCACCCCACGCGUAAGCGAUUUCCAGAACAUUUGUUUGUUGGUUUCUUAUCAUUGAUAGACAUAUAUUGUGUGGCUGAGAUACUGCCACUUGUAUGCAGAUUAGAGAGUUAGUUAGAAAGUUAGUUAGGUAGUUUGUUUAGAAUAUUGAAAAGGGUAUAAAUACUGAUGUAUGUGGGAUUGCUUAGUAAGUAAGAAAAGUAAUAUACUGGAAGUGUUUGGUUUCUACUUCUCUCUCUAAAUUGCUUGAAUCUCUUCUUCUUCUCACUAUAUUUCUGUAGUUUAAUAUGGUAUCACUCGCCAUUAGAGCUUGAUCAGCUUCUUCGAUCCGAGUCUUCCGCAGCUCCAACACUUCGUCUUCCUCUGAAUUCUUGCUUCUUGUACGCAUUUCUUGAUUGCUUUGACUUCGUCUUCUCUGCUUUCUAGGGUUUAUUGUUUCUGGGUGCUCUGCAACUACGAUCUGGUUGCGUCUUCGUCUUCUUCUAAUAUUGCACUCCAGGUGUUUGAUCCAUUGUUUCAGUGAGUUUCGGCAACGAUGGUAACAGCUUCUCAACUUCAGCUUCUUCAAUCUCCGAUCACUGCUCUAGUUUCGUCGAUUUCUACAUCUGUGAAUGUGAAGUUGGAUGAUUCGAAUUAUCUCACUUGGCAUUUUCAAAUGCAAUUACUGCUUGAGAGUAAUGGAAUUCUAGGGUUUGUCGACGGCACGCAUCCCUGUCCUCCUCGACAUUCCUCACCAUCUGGAGAUUCUGGUGUUAAUUCCUCAAAUUCAACAACUUCUUCUGCUAGUGAUGAGUAUUUGAUUUGGAUAAUGCAUGAUAAAGCCCUGAUGCAGUUACUGACUGCUUCUUUGAGUCCAAUGGCUCUGUCGUGUGCUAUUGGUAGUACAAGCUCUCGGGAUCUCUGGAUUCGAUUGCAAGAACAAUUCUCCACAGUCUCCAAGACUAGCAUAUUUCAGAUGAAGUCUAAUCUUCAAACCAUUAAAAAGGGAUCUGAUUCUGUUGCUCAAUAUUUACAGAAAAUCAAAGAGGCCAGAGAUUAUCUUUCAGCUGCUGGGGUGUAUUUUGUUGAUGAAGAUAUUGUCAUUCUUGCGUUGAAUGGUUUGCCACCAGAGUAUAAUACAUUCAGAACAGUAAUAAGGGGACGUGAGAAUGUUAUAUCUCUGAAGGAGUUUAGGACACAAUUACUUGCUGAAGAAGCUAUUCUGGAAUCCACUGUUAAUGCACCUUUUAUGACUGCAAUGGUUGCUCAUAAUUUACCUCCGAGAGCACCUACUCAAUCCAAUUUUGUGGCUGGUGGUUUCAAGCAAUUCAAUGCUCCCAAAAACAAGGGGAAGGGCCGGUUUCAUCAAAAUAACAGGACUUUUUCAUCCAAGCCGUAUCUUCCUACUCAAACUCAUGUUCUCCAAAAUCCAAGUCCUGGUGUUCUUGGUUCUUUUCCUCAUCAGCAGCACUCCCCUCCUUCUGCUCCACAUCUCCUCUUAUGUCAACUUUGCAAUUGUGGUGGUCAUUCUGCGCCUUUCUGUCCAUCCAAUUCUUCUGCGAAAUCCCGAUGUCAGAUUUGUGGCAGGUUUAAUCACAGUACAUGGUUCUGUUUUUACAAUGACAAGGGUCCCAACUAUAUUGGUGCUGGCAAUGGUUCUUAUCCACAACCAGGGCAUCCAUAUUCUCAGCAGGCUUCUUAUUCACAGCAAGGGUAUUCAUCACAGUUUCCUGCUCCACAACAAAUUCAGUCUCAGGCACCAAUGCAGGCUUUUCAUACUAUGGUGCCACAACCCUCUCCUCCAGCAGCAUCUUCAUCUCCUUCCCAAGUUUGGAUCACUGAUUUCGGGGCAACGAAUCAUAUGACUGCUGAUCUUUCCAAUCUGUCUCUAGCUUUACCCUAUCCCACUAAUGAAGUCAUACAAACUGCCAAUGGUGAAGGUUUGCCUGUAUCUCACAUUGGUAGUACUGUUAUAAAACCAUCUCUCCAUCCUAUAAAAUUGAAUUCUGUGUUAUAUGUUCCCAAAUUAACACAGAAUCUUCUAUCUGUCCAUCGCAUAUGUUUGGAUAAUAAUUGUUGGCUUAUCUUUGAUGCCUUCUGUUUUUGGAUCCAGGACAAGGCCACAGGGAGGGUACUCUAUAAAAGAUUGUGCAGUAAUGGACUCUACCCACUCUCAUCUCUAGCCAAUGUGUCACCUGCUGGUUCUCAAAGCAUUGCUUCAAAUAAAGCCCUCCUUGGUCAGUUGGUUACUUCUUCUACUACCUGGCACAAUAGAUUAGGACAUCCAUCUAAUUCAGUUGUCUCUCUUAUGUUGCAUAAGUCCAAAGUUGCUUUUGCAAAAGACCCAAAUCCUGUUCUGUGUCCUAGUUGUCUUGAGGGUAAAUUCUGUAAACUUCCAUUUGCAUUAAGUGUCAAUAAAUCUGUAACUCCUUUUGAUGUAGUGCAUAGUGAUCUUUGGGGUCCUGCACCUUGUAAAUCUGUGGAUGGAUAUCGGUACUAUGUCACCUUCAUUGAUGAAUGUACCCGGUAUUCCUGGAUUUUCCCAUUGAUGAAUAAAUCCGAUCUUUGUGCCACUUUUAUUGCUUUUCAUGCUUAUGUUCUCACUCAAUUCUCUGCAAACAUUAAAAUUUUGCAAAGUGAUGGUGGUGGUGAGUACAUUAGCAAGUCACUUCAAUCUUUUCUUCUCCAAAAGGGCAUUUCUCAUCAAAAAUCCUGUCCUUAUACCCCUGAACAAAAUGGGAUGGCUGAACGUAAACACAGACACGUUAUUGAAACCACAAUUACUUUGUUGCAAACAGCUAAACUGCCUUCCCAGUUUUUGGUCCUUUGCAUGUCAAACUGCCAUUUAUCUCAUUAAUAGAAUGCCUACUCCCAUUCUCCAUAACCAGUCUCCUUUUGAAGCCUUAUAUGGUGCUGUUCCAGUGAUUCAUCACUUGCGAACGUUUGGUUGUGCUUGUUAUCAUUUCUUAAGACCUUACAAUGCUACCAAACUUCAAGCUAAGACUACAAAAUGUGUGUUUUUGGGAUAUGCAUCCAAAUUCAAGGGCUUCAUUUGUUUUGCAGUUUCUACACAUAAAUUCUUUGUGUCUAGACAUGUGGUAUUUAGUGAACAUGAGUUUCCUUAUAAUGACUUGUUGUCCCGAGCCACCACACCACAAUCUCCUACUUCUGUUCACAUUACUGACCUGUCAUCUCUUCCUGUCGUCCCCUCACAGCCUAUAGUCACUAUACCCUCCUCUCAUACUCCUAUUUCUCCUGAGUCUCCAUUACAUUCCCCUUCUGCUCCCGGGUCUUCAUCCUUCUCACCAACCACGUCUCAGUUUCUUGACCCACCACCCUCUCAUCAGUCCAUUACUGGUGCAGUUUCACCCACUGAUCACAACCCUGUGGUACUUGAACAUAGUCCUGUUACACUACAAGUGGUUCCUUCCAUUCCCUCCUUGAAUAUACACCCUAUGCAGACUAGGAGUAAGAGUGGUAUCAGCAAAAAGAAGGUUCUUUUGUCUGCUCUUGCUACUUCCAUGGAUGCUGAUUUGUCUAUGUGUGAACCCAAAACAUACAAAUCUGCUCUCAAGAGUCCUGUGUGGUUUCAAGCAAUGAAGGAAGAGAUCAGUGCUUUGCAUACUCAAGGAACAUGGAGUUUAGUUCCUUUACCUGCAAACAAGAAUUUAGUAGGGUGUAAAUGGAUUUUCAAACUCAAGAGACAUUCAGAUGGUUCAAUUGCACGCCAUAAAGCUCGAUUGGUUGCCAAGGGAUUUAGUCAAGAACCUGGGCUGGAUUACAGUGAGACCUUUAGUCCAGUUGUUAAACCCACCACAGUGAGGAUUGUUUUAGCACUUGCUGCUCACUUUAAUUGGUCACUUCGGCAACUAGAUGUCAAGAAUGCGUUUCUCCAUGGCAUAUUACAGGAUGAGGUGUAUAUGGAUCAGCCACCUGGCUUUGAGGAUCCCCAGAAUCCUACUUUGGUAUGUCAAUUGCAUAAGUCCCUAUAUGGCUUAAAACAGGCCCCGAGGGCAUGGAAUGACAGGUUUACUUCUUUUCUGCCUAAGUUGGGCUUCCAUAACACCUAUUCUGAUUCCUCCUUAUUUGUGAAACCUGUUGGUGCCAAUAUUGUGAUCUUAUUGCUAUAUGUCGAUGAUAUUAUCAUCACAGGAAGUGCAAUCACUGAGAUUCAGCAGGUCAUUGAUGCUUUAACUUCUGAAUUUGACAUCAAGGACUUAGGUCCUCUUCACUACUUCCUUGGCAUUCAGAUUUCCAAGACUGCCAAGGGGUUAUUUUUGUCCCAACAGAAAUAUGUACAGGAUCUCCUUGUCAAAACAGAAAUGCUUGACUCCAAGCCUUGUGACACACCCUGCUUACCUUCUACCAGGUUACUCAAGGAUGAUGGUGACCCUUAUCCUAAUCCUACUUUAUAUAGGAGUGUGGUGGGUGCUCUUCAAUAUCUAACGUUCACACGCCCUGAUAUAGCUUUCUCUGUGCAUCAAGUCUGUCAGUUUAUGCAAUAUCCUAUGGUCUCUCAUUUCACUGCAGUUAAAAGGAUCCUUCGGUAUUUGAAGGGCACUAUGUCCUGUGGCAUUACCUAUUCUCAAGGGGACUUGGCACUAUCUGCAUUUAGUGAUGCCGAUUGGGCUGGAGAUCCCAAUGAUCGGCGAUCUACAACAGGGUCUGUGGUGUUCCUCGGGCAUAAUCCUAUCUCAUGGUCCUCUAAGAAACAGCAGACAGUGUCCCGAUCUUCGACUGAGGCAGAGUAUCGUGCUUUAUCCUCCACUGCAGCAGAACUUGAUUGGAUUCAACAAAUCCUUGCUUUUCUGCAUUUUCCGAUGUCUGCUCCUCCUGUUUUAUACUGUGACAACCUUUCUGCUAUAGCCUUGUCUUUCAAUCCUGUCCAACAUCAACGGACCAAACACAUUGAAAUUGAUGUGCAUUUUGUUCGAGAGCGGGUUUCUCAGAACAAGCUUGUGGUGCAGUUUGUGUCCUCCAAGGAGCAGUUGCUGAUAUCUUGACCAAAGGCCUCAGUUCUUCAUUGUUCCUUUUUCAUUGUAACAAUCUCAUGUUAGGAUCAUCCAAACAUGAGCUUGAGGGAGGAUGAUAGACAUAUAUUGUGUGGCUGAGAUAUUGCCACUUGUAUGCAGAUUAGAGAGUUAGUUAGAAAGUUAGUUAGGUAGUUUGUUUAGAAUAUUGAAAAGGGUAUAAAUACUGAUGUAUGUGGGAUUGCUUAGUAAGUAAGAAAAGUAAUAUACUGGAAGUGUUUGGUUUCUACUUCUCUCUCUAAAUUGCUUGAAUCUCUUCUUCUUCUCACUAUAUUUAUGUAGUUUAAUAAUCAUGUCCCAAAAACAAUGAAUUUUGGAUCAUCUCCUAUGAUUACCACAUUAAUUAAUGAUCGUUUUCUGCUAAUAAAUUUCAACAUCUACAUGUUUAGUUCAUGCAUUUUAAAUAUGUUACGUUGUUUUAUAUGAACAGAUUAGAGAUUAAUUGAAUUAUAAAUAAUGUAAUUUGAUUAGAUUAAUUUGUUACCACUAACUUUGUAUUUUCUUUGUUUAAUUUGUUUCAAAUCCUUUAGCCUUCCUUGAAAAAUUGUUGAAUUGGCAAAAAGAGAAUCAUCCAGUACCUGUAAAAACCUCUGCGGAAUCGAAAGAUGUUGAAGUUACUAGAUGCAGUACCUUGAAAAAUUGCAUGGAAACGGAGAUCUCUGCAUUCGUAGACGAUAAUGACAAAGGUACAUUCGGCCUCAUCGACUCAUGUCUUAUUAGAUUUUCGACGCAAUGUGAUAGUUCGUUGUAAAAUUACCGCACUUGGAAAAUUUUAUGUCUGUUAUCUGAAUCGACUUUGCCUGAAUUAGUACAUGAAGUUGUAUCUCACUGUUAUGUUUUAUGUUCAUGUUUCGACAUGAUUAGAGUUUUCUAAUCACAUGGCUCAAGACACUCUGAAAACCAAACUGAAGUCCUCGGGUAAGUCACCACAUCUAUUAAGGAGUUCAACGUUAAUGAAAUUCACGGCGAGUCAGUUGGCCAAGCAAAAUCAGCACCGAGAGGUUCACUCCAAUCGGUUAUUAAGGAGGUGCUGUUAUUUUUCUCUGAUGUUUCUGUUGUCAUUAAUGUAUGUUUUGUUCUAAUUGUUUGGUGGUCUAGUUUUCUAACUUGUCCCAUUUUCCGACUCUUGAUUACAGAGUUGCGAAAAAGCUCGAGAAACUCGAUGAGAAAUCACAGAAUUCUCCGCCACCUACGAUGGGCUGCGAAAAUUCGAAGCAAUGUAGCAUAGCACUUUGCAAAUUCGGUAGUGCUAUCACACGUGCAUUCUUACUUCUCACUAACCCCUCUCAAUUUUUCGGCCAUUGGAAAAAUAAGUGUGUAAAUAACACUAUCCUACAAAUUACGCAACCGAAACUAUAACAGAAGAGCGAUUAUAACGUAUUAAAGUACCAUCUCACUAAAUUAUCCAACAAUGUUUCAGAGAUUAGGAACAAUCAUACUACUUUCAGCUCAGUCAUUCCAUCAAACGGCUGGUUCGCUGCAAUUCCACUUAUGCUCAAAUCACUACCGUCCGUUCCUACCAUCGAUUCCAUCAAAUUCUCCGAAACCCAUUUCUCAAUCAAAUCCAAACACAGCUGCAACCACACCCAGAAAAUUAAAAAGUCGAACUUUACAAAACUCCACUCCGAAAACAUAAAUUACACAAAACCCAACAAAAUCUCACCCUGUUCUCGGACAAUCCGACUUGAAUAACCCCAUCCGGAUUAUCCACCCUCUCGUACGGGUCCUCCGAAGCCCUAUCCAACCCGAUAUAGUACGGCGAGUCAUUGGGCUUCGCAAUCCAGCUCGCCCGGGAGGACAUCCGGACCCGGCCCAUGGACCCGCGGGUGGACAAGCUGGACCGCGACAGCGUUCUGGGGAGCUCCGCCAGGUUGGAGGAGGACUGGGAGGGGGAAGGUGGAUCGGGUUUGGAGGGUCGCCGUCGUUUUAGGUAGAGCUGGAGGCAGUAAUAGAGAGCACAUGGGAUUAGAGAGGCGAGGAUGAGGCCGCCUCUGCCUUGGACGACGCCUUGGAGUGGCACAAUCAGUCUCAUCGCGGUGACUCCGGUGGGCUUGUUUCGGGUUGGGUCGGAGUCGGGUUGGCCGGUCCAGGUCUCGAGCUGCAGUGGGAGGGUUUCGGGUUGGCCGUUGGUUGGCGUGGAGGGAUUGAGUGAGAUUCGAGAGCCCUGCGAGGGAAGUGUGUGUUUUGCAGUUUCGCUACCAGAAACUUUUGGUCUGGUUAUGAUUGGCACCUGCCAGUUUCCAUCUUUGCAUCUUUUGUUGGUGGCGUGCAAACACCAUCGUCGUAUAAUAACAAAAAAACGAUUUCAUUCUUUUUGGGGCUAAAGAUGUAAUUUUGAAUCAAAUGCUUUUCUUAUCAUAUUUUUUUAUACCGUAACCGUUAUCUAAUAAAGAUAAGAUACAUAUGUGUGUAGACCUUACUUUUAUUAGAGAAAUUGAGAAUUUUUACUGUGCUCAAAACAAUAGUUGUACCAUAUGUCCUGGUGCAAAUACUAAAUAUUAUUCUGUGUUUCGAGCACAUUAAAAAAUCUCUCGGAUCACAUUGUGUUUGGACCUGAUUUUACACAUCGGCCUAAGCAAUCGAGGCCGUUGAGUAAGCAUGGUUCUCAACCGUUGGAUAAGAAAGUUUAGAUAUUAUUGUUAAGAGAUAAUAUUAUGAUUUUUAAUCAUAAUAAUUAUUUUUUUAAUAAGUUAUCUCGGUUUUUAUGCAAAAUAAAUGGGAUGGAGGCAAGUAGAGUUGUGAUGGGGACGUGAGCUUUGAAUCAGGUUGGUUUGUUUUGCUGGACAUGCAUGCAUGGGAUGUAAAGAUAAUGAAGUGAUAGGGGAUAAAUCCAAACAUGCCAAAACGUGUAAUUUGCAAAAGAAUUGUGCAAUAUGGAGAUUCUAUCCUAAUGCAUGGUUUUUUGGGAUUGGUUUUGUGCACGUGGCAUGCGACAAUGGAGAUGAUGGUUUUGCAUGGUGAUGGCAAUAUGGGUUUAAAGGUUUCUCAUGUUUUUUAAUAAGAAGCCUAGGUGGGUUAGAUCUCUAGUGAGAUGUGAUAAAGCCUAGGUAGGCUUUAUUUAUCUGAAGGAUAUGUGCGGCGUAUUUGAUACGGGAUCAGGGUUUAUCUGAAGGAUAUGCGCAGCGUAUUUGAUACGGGAUCAAGGUCAAUUCCACAAAAUAGAGUUGCAGUUGGACUCUACAAAAUUAUUUGGCCGCGUCACACAACAUUUGCUCCUAUAAAUAUAGAGGUAGUGGCAACGGAAGAAGGACCCCUGCAAAUCAAUACAAAAUUGCCCUGCGCAAAUUCUCACAACUUGUGAUUUUUCUUUUCCCUUUUUUCGCUGACACAUCUUCCGUUGGCAUCAACAGCACUGUGGAAGCAACCGGUGAUAUCUUAAGUCGGCAUAGAUAGCUCUGUCACCGUAGAAUCAGUCGGUCUCGCAAUACUUUCCGUUGGCAUCAACAGCACUGCGGCGAGAACGACCGAUUACCUAUCCAAGUCUCGGUCGAGAAGGAUUUCUGAAUCCUUAUUGGUCGAGGUCAUCUCAUCAGCCUUCUCGGCGAAGUGAGGUGUUACGAGUUAUUACAUUCGGCACAUUGAGGGCCGAAUUUGAUAUUGAACUUCGUGAGAAUAGUAACCUUGUCUUCAGGUUCGAGAGCCCAAGAGGCCGAGACGUGUUCCUUUCUUGGCCGCAAUCGCAAGACGCAGAAGUCAGUAGCGCGACCCAACGCAACAUCAACAAAUUUACUCCUCGGCCGAGCUCGGCCGACGAGUUGGCACGCCCCGCAUUCACCGAAGGACGUAGUUAGCUUAUUAAUUACUCGGCCUGCGCGCCACGUAGGCUUGGUAGUUUUUAGGGUCAACAUUUUGGCACGCCCAGUGGGACCCAGUGCUAAACUACGAAGUUCACAUGAUCUAUCUCGAUCCGGCUUCAAGGGAUGAGUGUUAUCGCCUAUUAAAGGAGCAAAACAACUUCUCGAGAGUUUGAGAAGAAUUUCUGAAAGGCAAGAGGCCGGGGGGCAAAUCUCCACUCCGGCCACAACCAAUAUUCAGCCUAAGAAAAGUGAUAAUUUGGCCGAAGAACAAAGGCCACUUGUUGUUUCGGUAGAGACUGAAAAUAUAGUAGGCCUAGAAGAAAAAAUUCAAGUCCCUAAGCUAUAUACAAAAAUUGACUUGGAAAAAGAUUCGUCAAAAGAACGCUCCAGUGACGAACGAGGCCGAGAUAUUGGCCUAGCCCGAGAAACUACGCCAAUUGAUAUGAUUAUUGGCAAUAAAGCCGAUAUGGAGAAAUCCUGUUCGGCUAAGUUAUUUGAAUUAAAAGCCGAAAUUAUGCCUGGGGGGCAUAAUAAUUGUUCAGCGCAUUCGGCGGCCGAUAAAAAAUCUUUCGUCAAGUCAAACAUAUUUGGAGAUAGUAUUUUAUUCGGCCUUGCAAAAAUUCAAAGUGAAAGUUUUGAUACAAAAAGCCUUCGGCUUGGAAUAAAACAUCGUUGGCCUCCUCCAUUUAUAGUAGGGCCACUUUUGUUUUCUUUUGCUACAAAAUAAGAAUAAAUUAUUUUCUUAACCAUUCGGCUUUUUAGGCCGAUGCUUAAGAAAAUAAAGGGGGCAAUAAGAUGGUGCGGACUUAGAAAAACAAGAAAAAACAAGAUGGUGUACUCGGCAGACAAUUUUGGUCAAAUAAUGGUGUACUCGGCAGACAGUUUUGGUCGAAUGAAUUUGCGAGAGCAUGCAUGACAAUUGCUCGGCAGACAGUUUUGGUCAAAUGAAUUUAUGGGAGCAUGCAUGGUUGCGAAGCUUGCUCAAUUCAGUUUCGAUGUGCGGUUUAAUAUAUAUAUGUGUGUGUCAGAAUGACCCAUCACAUGAAACAGAAAGAGAGACGCAUACGGAAAAGACAAAGGAAAAUUCAUGAAGUUAUGGUAGGCUUCCACAUGGGCUAACCUUUUCGUUUGGUGAUGUAGUGAUCUGUGAAUUCCUAACAGCAUUAUUUGGCCGAAUACAAAUCUUUGGCCGAAUAAAACAUAGUUCGGCCGAAUAUAAUGGGUUAUAUAUAUAUAUAUAUAUAUAUAUAUAUAUAUAUAUAUAUAUAUAUAUAUAGGCUCUACAGCCAGUUCUUCUCGGUCUCAGCCCUAUUUACUCUCGACCCCAGUAUUUUUGACCGAUACUAGUGUUUUCUCGACCCCGGCAGUUGAGAGUUGGAGUAGUUCACGACACUGGCAGAGGGAGGUUAUGACAUUGGCAGAACAUAGGUGAUUUUAAUGCCGAGAGACAAAAUUUGUUUCGGCAAUACGACGAAGUGUUGUUGGCUACGAGCAAUUAAUUUCCUUAACCAUUCGGCUUACGAGCCGAAGCUCACGGAAACUAGGGGGCAAUGUUUGGACCUGAUUUUACACAUCGGCCUAAGCAAUCGAGGCCGUUGAGUAAGCAUGGUUCUCAACCGUUGGAUAAGAAAGUUUAGAUAUUAUUGUUAAGAGAUAAUAUUAUGAUUUUUAAUCAUAAUAAUUAUUUUUUUAAUAAGUUAUCUCGGUUUUUUAUGCAAAAUAAAUGGGAUGGAGGCAAGUAGAGUUGUGAUGGGGACGUGAGCUUUGAAUCAGGUUGGUUUGUUUUGCUGGACAUGCAUGCAUGGGAUGUAAAGAUAAUGAAGUGAUAGGGGAUAAAUCCAAACAUGCCAAAACGUGUAAUUUGCAAAAGAAUUGUGCAAUAUGGAGAUUCUAUCCUAAUGCAUGGUUUUUUGGGAUUGGUUUUGUGCACGUGGCAUGCGACAAUGGAGAUGAUGGUUUUGCAUGGUGAUGGCAAUAUGGGUUUAAAGGCUUCUCAUGUUUUUUAAUAAGAAGCCUAGGUGGGUUAUAUCUCUAGUGAGAUGUGAUAAAGCCUAGGUAGGCUUUAUUUAUCUGAAGGAUAUGUGCGGCGUAUUUGAUACGGGAUCAGGGUUUAUCUGAAGGAUAUGCGCAGCGUAUUUGAUACGGGAUCAAGGUCAAUUCCACAAAAUAGAGUUGCAGUUGGACUCUACAAAAUUAUUUGGCCGCGUCACACAACAUUUGCUCCUAUAAAUACAGAGGUAGUGGCAACGGAAGAAGGACCCCUGCAAAUCAAUACAAAAUUGCCCUGCGCAAAUUCUCACAACUUGUGAUUUUUCUUUUCCCUUUUUUCGCUGACACAUCUUCCGUUGGCAUCAACAGCACUGUGGAAGCAACCGGUGAUAUCUUAAGUCGGCAUAGAUAGCUCUGUCACCGUAGAAUCAGUCGGUCUCGCAAUACCUUCCAUUGGCAUCAACAGCACUGCGGCGAGAACGACCGAUUACCUAUCCAAGUCUCGGUCGAGAAGGAUUUCUGAAUCCUUAUUGGUCGAGGUCAUCUCAUCAGCCUUCUCGGCGAAGUGAGGUGUUACGAGUUAUUACAUUCGGCACAUUGAGGGCCGAAUUUGAUAUUGAACUUCGUGAGAAUAGUAACCUUGUCUUCAGGUUCGAGAGCCCAAGAGGCCGAGACGUGUUCCUUUCUCGGCCGCAAUCGCAAGACGCAGAAGUCAGUAGCGCGACCCAACGCAACAUCAACAAAUUUACUCCUCGGCCGAGCUCGGCCGACGAGUUGGCACGCCCCGCAUUCACCGAAGGACGUAGUUAGCUUAUUAAUUACUCGGCCUGCGCGCCACGUAGGCUUGGUAGUUUUUAGAGUCAACACAUUGUUAAUAAGCUCUUCAAUUCAAGUUUUCCUUUCUCACGGUAUCGAUAAUAUACCAAUGAAUCCACUUAUAUAUAUAUAUAUGUAUGUAUCUUCCCAAGUAGAGGGUAUAUAUAUAUGUGUGUGUGUGUAUCCUCCCAAGUAUACCAGCACUCCUUAAAUUAUUGAACAUUGAAUCAGAACAAGUCUGCAAUAUGAUGGAUUACACAUGUCAAUGGUUGAGACAAACGCUGACUCAUCACAUCACUCUUGUGUGUGUGUAUCUUCCCAAGUAUACCAUCACUCCAUAAAUGAUUGAACAUUGAAUCAGAACAACUCUGCAAUAUGAUGGAUUACACAUGUCAAUGGUUGAGACAAACGCUGGCUCAUCACAUCACUUUCAUAGAUUAGAGGCAGAUUUUCUGCCCUCCUAUUUGGAUCCCCUUCUCAUUCCAUUCUAUUUUAUGUUGUCACGAUUAAACCACGUCAAUAUUUUAUAUUGAUUUUUUUUAUAGAGAUAAUAAAACAAAAAGCAAUAUGAAUAUAAAAUGUUGACGUAACUUAACUGUGAUCACACAAAUAGAAGGGAAUGAGAAGGGUACCCAAACAGGAGGGCAGGCAACCUGCCUCCUCAUAGAUUCGGUCUCCUUGCAAUCUAGAAAGCCAUCUGCAACCUAAGCAGAAAUAUUCCACCACAAUUUAUUCGUGCUCUCUGUUGAUAGGGCGUUGAUAGGGCGUUUAGAGCAGUUGCCAAGUUGGAUUUCAAAUCUUCAACACCUCGUCAUAUUGGGUAUUUGUUGGUCAAGGUUGAGAGAUUCCCCACUAAAAGCCCUUCAAAAUCUACCUAAUCUGUUGGAGCUAUUUUUGAAAAUCAAUGCAUAUGAUGGUGUGCAGCUGCAUCUUGAGGAAGGAGGAUUUCAGAAGCUGAGGCAUCUGGAACUCAAGGACAUGGAGGGACAAAAUUCAUUGAUCAUAGACAAUGGGGUUAUGCCUCUUCUCCAAGAGUUUCACAUUGGACCUUCCCCACAACUGAAGGAGGUGCCCUCUGGCAUCCACCAUCUCCGAAAGCUGAGAUAUCUUGUUUUCUUUGACAUGCCAAAGGAGUUUGAACGACAUAUGGAUCCAAAUAAUAGACUGCAACAUUGGAUUGUUGAACAUAUACAAGAUGUCCGCUUUAGUUACAAGUUCGGACCAAGAUGGGGGUGUAUACGAAACUCACGCCCGACGUGAUUCCAACUUUUCUUUUUGGUAGAAGAUUCCAACUUGUGAAACCAAGCAUGGGAAUGGAAUGGUCUCUUUUUGUACAGUUUUUGGUUAGAGAGGUUUAGGGGUUGUUAAGAGUUGGUUGUUAGCUCUGGUAUCCUAGUUUCUCUUGCAGGUUGACUGGGAGUGGCUCUUUCUCUUCUGUUUUCUUUGUGUCGUCGAGUCUAGUGAUAUUUCUAGCAUUUUCCUUAUAAACUGUUUUUUUUAUUUAUAAAAAUUGAAAAAUAAAAAGGUAUCUUCUUCUCAAAUUCAGAAUGUUCAAGUGACCUAAUAAAAUUUCAUUGAACUUUAGGCGAAUGAAUCAAGUUUUUACUAGAGAUAAGUGUUAAUCUACAAUGGCUAUUUAUUCAAAAAGUUUUUUAGUAGUUUAAAAUCAUCAAACUAACUUUUUUUUUUGAAUGUGUUAAAAUUGGUUACCUGCAGAUAAUGAGUUCUUAACAUGUGAUUCAAUACCGACCCAAUUAGUUAAUGUGUAGAUUUGAAAUCUAUUAUUUUCGUACCAUUUCGAAUCGAGUUAACAGAUCGUAUAAGAAAUUGUCAGAUCUAACUUAAAUUUGAAAGGCUUGAUGACCGUUGGCAGGCCUACCAAAUAUAAAAUGGUUGUUGUUUGUUUGUUAAUUUAUAAAAACUUAAAAAGAGAGUUGGGUAGGUAUCGUAAUGACGCAAAGCCAGAGGCAACCACCUCUCUAAUUCGAGUUUUCCUUUCUCACUGUACCAACACGAGCAAAUUAAUCCCCUCAUAUAUCAUCGCAACUCCACGGUAUAUAAUAUAGCAACACUCCUUAAAUUAUUGAAAAUUGAAUCAGAACAAGUCCGCAAUAUGAUAUGAUGGAUUACCAAAGUCAAUGGAUGAACCAAACGCUGCCUUAUCACAUCGCUUUCAUAUUUUCAAUCUCCUUGCAAUCCAGAAAGUCCUCUGUAACCUAACCAGAAAUAUUCCACACGGAAGUAUUCAUAUAGAGAUUUUUCUCCAUCAAUUAUAGAUACUGUCUGCCAGAAAAGGCAGGAUACAAAAUGGCAGAAUCAGUUGUAUGCUUUGUGAUCGAUAAGUUAAUUUCACUACUCGUCACCACAGAAGCGAAACUUUCAAGAGACGUGCGUGCUGAAGUUGGUUUUCUCAGAGAUGAACUUGAAAGCAUCCGAUCAUUCCUCAAGGAUGCAGACGCUAAAGCAGCAGCAGCAGCAGCAGAAGGAGACAUGGUGACUGACAGUGCCAAAACUUGGGUCAAACAAGUAAGGGAAGCAGCUUUUUACAUUGAAGAUGUCAUCGAUGAGUAUUUGCUUCGUGUCACAAGGCACCAUCAAGACCGCGGAUUCGUUCGCUUUGUCCACAAAGUUGUUUGGUUUCUGAAGAAAAUGAAACCACAGGAUGAGAUAGCCUCAAAAAUAGAGGGCAUGAGAGCAUUGGUUAGUGAAAUCAAGGCUAGACAUGAAAGAUAUGGGCUUAGUUCAAUUGAUCAGCAAGGUCAAAGCAGUGAAGAAAUUGUUGUUUCGUGGCAUGACCCUCGAGUGGCUUCCCUUUUCAUCGAGGAAGCUGAAGUUGUUGGUGUGGAAUCUGCCAGAGAUGAGCUGAUUAGUUGGUUGGUAGGAAAAGCAUCAAGAGGCGCAUACCGUGAAGUAAUAUCAGUGGUUGGCAUGGGAGGACUUGGUAAGACCACUCUCGCCAAGAAAGUCUAUGACAACCAAAGGGUGAUCGAACACUUCGAUUGCCAUGCUUGGAUUACAGUGUCUCAGACGUACAAGGUGGAGGAUCUUCUGAGGCAGAUGGUAAUGCAAUUCUACAAGGCCAGGAAGGAAUAUACCCCGGAGGGCAUUGACACAAUGGAAAAAGAAUCUUUAAUUAGAAAAUCAAGAGAAUUACUGCAGCAAAAGAGGUACGUGAUUGUGUUUGAUGAUGUAUGGAAAGUAGAAUUUUGGGAGGCGAUAGAACAUGCUUUGCUGGAUAAUAAAGGGGGAAGAAUAGUGAUCACCACGAGGAUUAAAGAUGUUGCUGAUUUUUGCAAAAAGUCUUCUUAUGUUCAUAUUUACCGUUUGCAACCUCUGCCUCCAAUCAAGGCAUGGGAAUUGUUUUGUAGAAGGGCAUUUCAAUACGAAUUGGAGGGGAACUGCCCUGCAGAUUUGAAAGAUUUGUCUCUUGAAUUCGUUAGAAAGUGCGAAGGAUUGCCUUUGGCAAUUGUUUCCAUAGGUGGUCUGCUGUCAACAAAAGUUAAAGUUGUGUCUGAAUGGCAGAAGUUAUACGAUAGCUUAAGUUCAGAGUUAGAAAGCAAUCCCCACCUUACAAGCCUCACAAGAAUUCUAUCCUUCAGCUAUCAUCAUCUACCGUAUCACCUCAAAUCAUGUGUCUUAUACUUUGGCAUCUUUCCCGAGGACUACUCAAUUAGUUGCAUAAGACUAGCUCGGUUGUGGAUCGCUGAAGGCUUUGUGAAACCGAAGAGGGGCAAGACACUAGAAGAGGUUGCAGAGGAAUACUUGACUGAACUGAUACAUAGAAGCCUGGUGCAAGUGUCACAGGUUUGGAUCGAUGGGAAAGCUAAAAGCUGUCGAGUCCAUGAUCUGAUGCGCGAAGUGCUCCUUAGAAAAGCGGUGGAUUCAAAUUUCUGUCAUGUGUUAUCAGAAAAUGAGUCAACAAUAAAGCCAAUAACUCGACGCCUCUUGAUAGACAGCAUGCCCUAUGAUGCCUUGGGAAUAAUUGAACAAUCUCGCAUUCGUUCUUUAUUUACUUUCAACCAAGAACAAUGGCCCGAGUCUUUUCUCAGUACACUGAGUGGAAACUUUAAACUUAUGAAAAUAUUGGAUUUUGGAGAUGCUCCCCUGAAUCAUCUUCCGAAGUAUGUGGGAGAUUUGCAUCUCUUGAAGUACUUAAGCCUAAGGAAUACAAAGGUGAAGUUGCUUCCAGAGUCCAUAUGUAAUCUGCAAAACUUAGAAACACUGGAUUUAAAACAGUCUCUGGUAUAUGAAAUACCAGCCAAGAUCAAUAAGCUUCUAAGGUUGCGACAUCUUUUGGCCCAUUAUACUGACUCCAGCUCAAGGUUCAGGAUGAUCAGUAACGAACGAGGAGUGAAAAUACAUGAUGGUAUUGGAUGCUUACAAGCUUUACAACAGUUAUACCAUGUGGAAACAAAUCAUGGCGGAAUCAACCUAAUCAAAGCAUUGGAAAAGUUGAGGCAGCUGCGAAAGUUGGGCCUGAAAAACUUGAAACGUGAAUAUGGACGAGCUCUAUGUGCUUCGAUUGAAAAGAUGAACCACCUUGAAUCUCUAGAAGUAAGCACAAUAAGCGAAGAUGAAGUCCUUGACCUGCAAUCCAUUUCAACUCCACCCGAAUCUAUUCGGUUUCUCUACUUGAAGGGGCCUCUAGAGAAGUUGCCAAGUUGGAUUCCAAAGCUUCAACGACUUGUCAGGCUACGAAUUUUUUGGUCAAGGUUGACAGAUGCCCCACUGAAAGCUCUUCAAAACCUUCCUAAUUUGGUAGAGCUUGGGUUCUCAUUCAACGCAUAUGAUGGUGUGCAACUGCAUUUUGAGGGAGGCUUUAAGGAACUCAGGGUGUUAAAACUCAAGCACUUGCCCAGACUAAACUCAUUGAUCAUAGACAAUGGGGCUAUGCCUCUUCUCCGAGAGCUACAAAUUGGGCCUUCCCCACAACUGAAGGAGGUGCCCUCUGGCAUCCAGCACCUGAGAAAUCUAAGCUCUCUUAGAUUUGUUGACAUGCCAAAAGAGUUCCGACAACAUGGAUCCAAAUAAUGGCCAACAUUAUUGGAUUGUCGAACAUAUACAAGAUGUUCUUUUUAGUUACAAGUUGGGACAAAGAUGCGAUG